GAUGAAGAACGCAGCGAAAUGCGAUAAGUAAUGUGAAUUGCAGAAUUCAGUGAAUCAUCGAAUCUUUGAACGCACCUUGCGCCCUUUGGCUAUUCCGAAGGGCAUGCCUGUUUGAGUAUCAUGAACACCUCAACUCUCAUGGCUUGCCAUGACGAGCUUGGACUUUGGGGGUCUUGCUGGCCGGGGGGUUGGCUCCUCUCAAAUGAAUCAGCUUGCCAGUGUUUGGUGGCAUCACAGGUGUGAUAACUAUCUACGCUUGUGGUUUUUCACCAGGUUAACCUUCAGUGAUGGAGGUUCGCUGGAGCUCAUAAAUGUCCCUUCUCCGUGAGGACAGCUCUUUGAACGUUUGAUCUCAAAUCAGGUAGGACUACCCGCUGAACUUAAGCAUAUCAAUAAGCGGAGGA
rnacentral:misc_RNA from 1 species